rnacentral:rRNA from 1 species
CGUUACUGACGUUUAGGCUCGAAAGUGCGGGUAUCAAACAGGAUUAGAUACCCUGGUAGUCCGCACAGUAAACGAUGGACACUCGCUGUCGGCGACAGACAGUCGGCGGCCAAGCGAAAGCGUUAAGUGUCCCACCUGGGGAGUACGCCGGCAACGGUGAAACUCAAAGGAAUUGACGGGGGCCCGCACAAGCGGAGGAACAUGUGGUUUAAUUCGAUGAUACGCGAGGAACCUUACCCGGGCUUGAACUGCGCAGGAAUGUUGGGGAGACCCAUCAGUCAGCAAUGACCUGCGUGGAGGUGCUGCAUGGUUGUCGUCAGCUCGUGCCGUGAGGUGUCGGCUUAAGUGCCAUAACGAGCGCAACCCCUUCUUCCAGUUGCCAUCGGGUCAUGCCGGGCACUCUGGAGGGACUGCCGCCGUAAGGUGUGAGGAAGGCGGGGAUGACGUCAAAUCAGCACGGCCCUUACGUCCGGGGCUACACACGUGUUACAAUGGGGGGUACAGCGGGGUGCCACCGCGCGAGCGGGCGCCGAUCCUCAAACCCUCCCGUAGUUCCAUUGGGGUCUGCAACCCGACCCCAUGAAGCUGGAUUCGCUAGUA